UGAUUUCACUUAAACUCUCAUCUCAUAGUGAGCUUUGGAGGGAAGCCAAACUACGAGAGGUUUCUUUGACAUCUGACUUCCUGUUGGGUUCAGCUAAAGAGGAAGAGGCAGCAGGAGCUGAGGCAUUUUGCAUUCUACCUUCCACCCUGGGGAUGCCAAUGCCUGGCUCCUGUCAGGGGGCCCUCUUCACACUGCCCUCUCUGACUCCAAGCUCUGAUAUGUCCUGGGAUGUCCUACAGGUGGAACCUAAAAACAAAAAUGAAAACAAAAGAGCUUCCCUGUGAGAGCAGAAAGAUUCUCAAAUAAAACAUGGACAUCUCAAAAUCUAAAAGGGCUCCCCGGAAAUGAAUUGUAAGAGGCAAUCAAAAUGCACAGACGGGAGUGUGGGCAAGACUGGAAAUCAUCUAAACAUAAUAAAAUAAAUCAAUCUGGCAAGUUAGAGAUCAGUUUCACUCCAAACCACUUCUUCUGUCUGAACCUGUUUUCCCACUUGUAAAUGAAGGAAUUAGACUAAACUUGGUAGCCUAAUAACAUAUACUACCAACUUAAUAUGUUCUAUGCUCUACUCACUUUAACUUUUAUUCACUUGUUUUACCUUCACAGCAAAGGUUAAAACUUAUUUGGAAGAGCCCUUGA